CCCUUAGAUGUCCGGGGCCGCACGCGCGCUACACUGAAGGAAUCAGCGUGGCUUUCUCCCUGACCCGAAAGGGUUGGGAAACCCGUUGAAUCUCCUUCGUGAUAGGGAUUGGGGCUUGAAAUUGUUCCCCAUGGACGAGGAAUUCCCAGUAAGCGCGAGUCAUAAGCUCGCGUUGAUUACGUCCCUGCCCUUUGUACACACCGCCCGUCGCUACUACCGAUUGAACGGUUUAGUGAGGGCCUCGGAUUGGUCUCGGCCCGCUCUUUACCGGGCGGCGCCGUUGGUCGAGAAGACGCUCGAACUUGAUCGUUUAGAGGAAGUAAAAGUCGUAACA
rnacentral:rRNA from 1 species